GACCUUGUGGCGCAACGGUAGCGCGUCUGACUCCAAAUCAGAAGGUCGUGUGUUCAAAUCUUGUCAGCGUCA